rnacentral:rRNA from 1 species
AGGAUGUUGGCUUAGAAGCAGCCAUCAUUUAAAGAAAGCGUAAUAGCUCACUGGUCGAGUCGGCCUGCGCGGAAGAUGUAACGGGGCUAAACCAUGCACCGAAGCUGCGGCAGCGACGCUGAUGCGUUGUUGGGUAGGGGAGCGUUCUGUAAGCCUGUGAAGGUGGCCUGUGAGGGUUGCUGGAGGUAUCAGAAGUGCGAAUGCUGACAUAAGUAACGAUAAAGCGGGUGAAAAGCCCGCUCGCCGGAAGACCAAGGGUUCCUGUCCAACGUUAAUCGGGGCAGGGUGAGUCGACCCCUAAGGCGAGGCCGAAAGGCGUAGUCGAUGGGAAACGGGUUAAUAUUCCCGUACUUGGUGUUACUGCGAAGGGGGGACGGAGAAGGCUAUGUUGGCCGGGCGACGGUUGUCCCGGUUUAAGCGUGUAGGUGUGUGUUCCAGGUAAAUCCGGUUCACUUUAACACUGAGGCGUGAUGACGAGGCACUACGGUGCUGAAGCAACAAAUGCCCUGCUUCCAGGAAAAGCCUCUAAGCAUCAGGUAACAUCAAAUCGUACCCCAAACCGACACAGGUGGUCAGGUAGAGAAUACCAAGGCGCUUGAGAGAACUCGGGUGAAGGAACUAGGCAAAAUGGUGCCGUAACUUCGGGAGAAGGCACGCUGACACGUAGGUGAAGUGAUUUACUCAUGGAGCUGAAGUCAGUCGAAGAUACCAGCUGGCUGCAACUGUUUAUUAAAAACACAGCACUGUGCAAACACGAAAGUGGACGUAUACGGUGUGACGCCUGCCCGGUGCCGGAAGGUUAAUUGAUGGGGUCAGCGCAAGCGAAGCUCCUGAUCGAAGCCCCGGUAAACGGCGGCCGUAACUAUAACGGUCCUAAGGUAGCGAAAUUCCUUGUCGGGUAAGUUCCGACCUGCACGAAUGGCGUAAUGAUGGCCAGGCUGUCUCCACCCGAGACUCAGUGAAAUUGAACUCGCUGUGAAGAUGCAGUGUACCCGCGGCAAGACGGAAAGACCCCGUGAACCUUUACUAUAGCUUGACACUGAACAUUGAGCCUUGAUGUGUAGGAUAGGUGGGAGGCUUUGAAGUGUGGACGCCAGUCUGCAUGGAGCCGGCCUUGAAAUACCACCCUUUAAUGUUUGAUGUUCUAACGUGGACCCGUGAUCCGGGUUGCGGACAGUGUCUGGUGGGUAGUUUGACUGGGGCGGUCUCCUCCUAAAGAGUAACGGAGGAGCACGAAGGUUGGCUAAUCCUGGUCGGACAUCAGGAGGUUAGUGCAAUGGCAUAAGCCAGCUUGACUGCGAGCGUGACGGCGCGAGCAGGUGCGAAAGCAGGUCAUAGUGAUCCGGUGGUUCUGAAUGGAAGGGCCAUCGCUCAACGGAUAAAAGGUACUCCGGGGAUAACAGGCUGAUACCGCCCAAGAGUUCAUAUCGACGGCGGUGUUUGGCACCUCGAUGUCGGCUCAUCACAUCCUGGGGCUGAAGUAGGUCCCAAGGGUAUGGCUGUUCGCCAUUUAAAGUGGUACGCGAGCUGGGUUUAGAACGUCGUGAGACAGUUCGGUCCCUAUCUGCCGUGGGCGCUGGAGAACUGAGGGGGGCUGCUCCUAGUACGAGAGGACCGGAGUGGACGCAUCACUGGUGUUCGGGUUGUCAUGCCAAUGGCACUGCCCGGUAGCUAAAUGCGGAAGAGAUAAGUGCUGAAAGCAUCUAAGCACGAAACUUGCCCCGAGA